AAAGAUUAAGCCAUGCAUGUCUAAGUAUAAGCAACUAUACAGUGAAACUGCGAAUGGCUCAUUAAAUCAGUUAUCGUUUAUUUGAUAUUACAUUACUACUUGGAUAACCGUGGUAAUUCUAGAGCUAAUACAUGCCUAAAAUCCCGCUUGCGGGAUGUAUUUAUUAGAUAAAAAACCAAUGUCUUUUUGACUCUGUGGUGAUUCAUAAUAACUUUUCGAAUCGCAUGGCCUUGAGCUGGCGAUGUUUCAUUCAAAUUUCUGCCCUAUCAACUUUCGAUGGUAGGAUAGUGGCCUACCAUGGUUUCAACGGGUAACGGGGAAUAAGGGUUCUAUUCCGGAGAGGGAGCCUGAGAAACGGCUACCACAUCCAAGGAAGGCAGCAGGCGCGCAAAUUACCCAAUCCUGACACGGGGAGGUAGUGACAAUAAAUAACGAUACAGGGCCCAUUGGGUCUUGUAAUUGGAAUGAGAACAAUUUAAAUACCUUAACGAGGAACAAUUAGAGGGCAAGUCUGGUGCCAGCAGCCGCGGUAAUUCCAGCUCUAAUAGCGUAUAUUAAAGUUGUUGCAGUUAAAAAGCUCGUAGUUGAACCUUGGGCCUGAUGAGCCGGUCCGCCUAAGGUGUGCACUGGUUUCAUCGGGCCUUUCCUCCUGGCUAACCUUAGUGUCUUUAAUCGGACGCUAGGAAAUUCCAGGACUUUUACUUUGAAAAAAUUAGAGUGUUCAAAGCAGGCCUUUGCUCGAAUAUAUUAGCAUGGAAUAAUAGAAUAGGACGUAUGGUUCUAUUUUGUUGGUUUCUAGGACCGUCGUAAUGAUUAAUAGGGACAGUCGGGGGCAUCAGUAUUCAGUUGCUAGAGGUGAAAUUCUUGGAUUUACUGAAGACUAACUACUGCGAAAGCAUUUGCCAAGGAUGUUUUCAUUAAUCAAGAACGAAAGUUAGGGGAUCGAAGACGAUCAGAUACCGUCGUAGUCUUAACCAUAAACUAUGCCGACUAGGGAUCGGGCGAUGUCCUUUUUGACUCGCUCGGCACCUUACGAGAAAUCAAAGUUUUUGGGUUCUGGGGGGAGUAUGGUCGCAAGGCUGAAACUUAAAGGAAUUGACGGAAGGGCACCACCAGGAGUGGAGCCUGCGGCUUAAUUUGACUCAACACGGGGAAACUCACCAGGUCCAGACACAAUAAGGAUUGACAGAUUGAGAGCUCUUUCUUGAUUUUGUGGGUGGUGGUGCAUGGCCGUUCUUAGUUGGUGGAGUGAUUUGUCUGCUUAAUUGCGAUAACGAACGAGACCUUAACCUACUAAAUAGCUCGAUCAGCUUUGGCUGAUUAUAAGCUUCUUAGAGGGACUAUCGAUUUCAAGUCGAUGGAAGUUUGAGGCAAUAACAGGUCUGUGAUGCCCUUAGACGUUCUGGGCCGCACGCGCGCUACACUGACGGAGCCAGCGAGUAACUAACCUUGGCCGAGAGGUCUGGGUAAUCUUGUUAAACUCCGUCGUGCUGGGGAUAGAGCAUUGCAAUUAUUGCUCUUCAACGAGGAAUUCCUAGUAAGCGCAAGUCAUCAGCUUGCGUUGAUUACGUCCCUGCCCUUUGUACACACCGCCCGUCGCUACUACCGAUUGAAUGGCUUAGUGAGGCCUCCGGAUUGGCUCCAAGAGAUGGGCAACCAUCACUUGGAGCCGAAAAGCUGGUCAAACUUGGUCAUUUAGAGGAAGUAAAAGUCGUAACAAGGU
rnacentral:rRNA from 1 species